UGAAACCCAAUUUCGUGCUGCAACGUACAAUCAAAACUUGAACCAUUUUGCAGGGCAGUGUACAGUUUGCUCUGUCAUAGAGGCUGCAGGCAGCUGUCUCUCCUACUUGCUCAGAAGCAAAAUUAGAGAACAGCAACUGUAGUAGAGUAGAUUAAAGCCACCCUUUUUGCAGCAGCAGCAGAGCCCGAGACUACAUCUCUCUCUCUCUGUAUAUAUAUAUUAUAUAUACACACACGGCUUUGACAGCUUUGUUAUUGGUGGUGUUGGGACCACACCAAUAAUGCCCACAAACAAAAACAAAAUGCAUUAUGCUGCAUCAGACUCCCCUAUAUAUCUGGGCUCACCCUAUAUACAUACAUUCUCAAUCUGCUGCCAACCCACCACCUAUAUUAAUACUGCCCCAAUACCAUGAAAACCCUAGGCUAGCAUUAUUUUCUAUGGUUUUGCCUUCUGCAAUGGCUUCCAAUCGAUGAAAGGAAAGGCAGAAACCUUUUUCACAUGCUUAAAUGCUCUCUCUCUCUCUCUCUCUCUCUCUCUCUCUCUCUCUCUCUCAUAAAAUACUAAAUUAAGUGCCUUGAUCUAUAUUUCGGGCAUUAUUUCGGGCAUUUAAAGAGAACCUCCUCCCUCCUGCGCCUAGAGUACUGCCAAAUAACACAGUUCUGGGGUUGCCCCCCAAAACAAAAGGAGCCACCAAAGAUCGAGAAAUACGUAAAUGGAGAAAGCUGGAAUAGCUAUAUAUAUAUUUGGCUGGUGUGUGAGGCAAAGGCAUGAUUUUGAGCUUGGAUAACGACCGAGCUGCAUGGGAGUCUGGACGGACACUGAUAUAUAAUGGCUGGCAUUGGAGAUUGCAUGUUGGGUUGCAGGCUCUUCGCAAAAGAAUCCAAAGUAUCCGUACCCAAGUAGACUCGUGACAUCGAGUGCAUGAACCAUUUCGAAGAAAACAAGUCACAUGGAAGAUCAACUAGGGGCAGACAGACUUGCAUGCAAGGAAUUAAUGGGUGCUAGAGGAUAUAGCUUCUAGUAACAGUCAAAUAUACAGGUAAUUCCUCUCUGUCAAUCAUUUGAUUUGUUCUUGUACGUACAAAGAUUCUCAUAUAACAAAUUGCUGUAUGCUUAUAUAGAUAGAAAAAUGGAAGAAACAUAUUACCAACCAGGAAGGAUGUACCAAAAUAAAUUCAAGGUUCUUUAUGAUGGUCAUGUUACUUUAAAUGGAUCAAUACCGCAAUUAUGCA